UCAAGUCGAGCGAAUGGGAUUGAGAGCUUGCUCUCAAGAAGUUAGCGGCGGACGGGUGAGUAACACGUGGGUAACCUGCCCAUAAGACUGGGAUAACUCCGGGAAACCGGGGCUAAUACCGGAUAACAUUUUGAACCGCAUGGUUCGAAAUUGAAAGGCGGCUUCGGCUGUCACUUAUGGAUGGACCCGCGUCGCAUUAGCUAGUUGGUGAGGUAACGGCUCACCAAGGCAACGAUGCGUAGCCGACCUGAGAGGGUGAUCGGCCACACUGGGACUGAGACACGGCCCAGACUCCUACGGGAGGCAGCAGUAGGGAAUCUUCCGCAAUGGACGAAAGUCUGACGGAGCAACGCCGCGUGAGUGAUGAAGGCUUUCGGGUCGUAAAACUCUGUUGUUAGGGAAGAACAAGUGCUAUUUGAAUAAGCUGGCACCUUGACGGUACCUAACCGGAGGGCCGCGGCUACCCCGUGCCAGCAGCCGCGGUAAUACGUAGGUGGCAAGCGUUAUCCGGAAGUUGAGCGUGAGCGCGCCAGGUGUUUCUUAUUCUGAGUGAAAGCCAC
rnacentral:rRNA from 1 species